rnacentral:lncRNA from 1 species
CACGGCGGAUGCGCAGAGGCUGUCGGACUCUGACUGCGCGGAGACCGCUGGACUCUGGUCGCGGCCUUAGUCCGCUGAUCCUCGCUUGGGUGCCCGCCCUUAGCGGCCCGGCGUUGAAUUCCGGGAAGUGGGAGCUUCAGGCUCGCUCCGUGCGGGUAUGGGCGCUAAUGUCACUUGGGAUGGUUGCGCAAGGACAUCGCGGCGGACACUGACAAGGAACCGGGGAGGAACGGGGGUGGGGAGAGACUGCGAUGGGACUCGGGAAGCCGGGAAGGGCCGCGCUGAAUAAGCCUAAGGGGCCGGGUCGCAAGGAGUGUCGGGUAGCACAGGCCUCGGCUCAGUCGGAGCGCCAGGCCUCAGGGUCCGGGCGGGGGCUGCUGCGUCACACCAGGCAGCCUGGGAACGCAACUGUUGGGCAACCGUGGUGGCCUCUCGCCACCUCUUACGCUUGGGCGAUCUGCGAUUGACGCAUCCUGGGAGCUGAUGUCCCGCACGGGCGGGGCGCCGGAGGAGGAGAGAAAAUAGAGACCCGGUUGUUGACAGCCUGUGAUGCCGCUUGAUUCAUGUGUGGGUGGCCUGGUUUAGAAAUGUACCACCCUUCCUUUCUAGGUUCCUCCCCGGAGGGCGGGGUGACGGGUGCGGCGCCGAAUCGCAACAAAAAACGCUGCUCGAGGGAUGUUAGUAACUGUCUCAGCUUAAGUUGCUGCCUUUUAGCUUACAGUUUGUAUCGUAACUGUAAUUGUGGAUCUUAGUUAAAUCCCUUCAGUGUGUUGGAAACAUAUUUUUAAGUGUAUUUUUGAAACAUACUUAGAGCAUUUUGAAAUGCUUUUUUGAAAGCGUUUUUUAAAUCAAAAUUCUGUUACACUUUAUUUUUUUCAGUCUGCAGAUGAACUUGACUCACUCAAGGUUAAUGAUUUUUGUUUUUUAUUUAUGUUUGUAGAGGCGGGGUUUUGUCAUGUUGCUAGGUUGGUGUUGAACUCCUGAGCUCGAGCGAUCCACCUGCCACUGCCUUCCAAAGUGCUGGAAUUACAGGCGUGAGCCACGGCGCCCGGUGGCCGAGGUUAAUAAUAAUUAAAAGUUUCUAAUCCCAUUGUUCAGUUAUUUGAUUUGGUGUAAAGGCGCACUUUCCAAGUCAGAUGAGUUUGUGGUAACAUACAUUCCCCAAAUAAUUAUUUUUCCCUUGUGGGAAAUAUUCCAGUUUUAGGCUACCAGCUGUUUAAACAGUUUGGUUCAAAUCCUUCAAAAAAAUCUCAAAACAUAACUCCACAUAUGUAUUUACUACAUAUUGAAGGGUGUAUUCACUUGGAGAAGUAGGAGAAAGCAAACAGAUGCCAAUGGCCUUUUUGAAAACAUGUAUCUAUCAGCAAUAAUUGAAUAGCAAAACGAAGUGGAACACUACCAUCCUUUGCAAUAUUAGAUAGUUUUAAUACUGGGUUGUGAGGAAUGAAAAGAUCAUACAAAUCGUCAUUUCUGAAGUCAUUUCUGAAGUCGUCAUUUCUGAACUGAGUGCUAAUUUUUCAUAUUAAGCUUUAUGUUAAUAUCCUUAAUGAGAGGAACUUCCUGUGCCCGUAAUUUCUCCAGAGAAACUAUUAACAUACACAGAAUGUUGUAAUCAGAAGUAUAGUUCAGUUAAUAAAGUCCUCAAUUACAACUCUGACAUUUUGUCAUUGUCUUAUGAAAAGAAUUACUGUAUAUACAGUCUAUUUUACGUUUUCCGGAAGCACGUCAGGCAGGUUUUUUGUUUUUUUACUACUAAUUGUGCCAUUGAAUAUGCUAUUCUGUCGUAUUGUGCCAUCAAACAUGCUAUUCGAAAAAAGAUCUUGCCCAAUUUGUAAUAAAAUAUUGAACAUUGGAGAUUUAGAUUUCGAGUAAAAUCAUACUUUAUUGCUUUGCAGAAGUACACAGUAGGUGGAAAAUUGCAACAAUCUUGCCAGUUCAUUUUUUAAAAAGCGUGUAGGUAAUCCAAAGAUACCUUUUUGAUGAUUUGUUAUCAACAUAGUUAAAUUUGCAGUGUCACUUUAUUUGAAUAAACUAGCUUUAUCUCUACUUAGUGGUACUAAAACAAUAGCCAAACAGUUGAUAAUCUCAACACAUGACUAACGAAAAAUUCCACAUAAUUAACAUUAACCAGGAGGUUUUUGUUACUAUUUAAUUUCUCAUUUUUAAAAUUUCAUAUUCUUUGGAAAGAAUAUUACUUUUCCGGAAUCUAAGACAGCAUUUUGUGGGUCCUUAAUUGUGAUAUGCUUUACUAGGUAAAGUACUAAAUGGGUAUCCUUAGGUGGGGAUAGGCUGGGAACCACAUAUCCAGAAUUGUGAAAUAUAUAACAUAAACAGGAUAACUUGCUCCUUUGUUAGCUUUUUGGAUGCCAGGGUUAAGAUUUUAAUUCCAUAAUUAUGUCCUUGUUGCCUGGAGGAUUUGCAUAUGAGAAACCACAAAAACAAUCGGGACAUUAUUAAAAUACCCUAGAAUCUCAACCUGUGACAGUAUUUCCCAUGUCCUUGCAAAACCAGAGGAAGUCUUUCCAAUAUGAUUCUUAAAUUUACAAAGUCCUCUGAAUAGAAACCAUGAAAUCCUAAGUCAUCUUCUAGUGAAGAUUUGCUGUACAUUUUCUGUUUUCCUAAUAAGAAAUUAGAGGAGUUUAGUUCCCAGUGUUGGGCAAGGGAUAGGACUCAGUCACCUGGAAAGUUCUUUUGUAACUACACGUGCCUGACACUCCUAUUCUUCCCCUCUGCUGAUAUGCAGAAUUUCUAGGUUCUAGGUAGUAUUUGGGAAGUUUCCCAGAUUAUUCUGAUAUCUACCAGCGGCUCAUCCACCUUCUUUAUGGUCACUGUAUUUGGGGAUUUUGAAUGAUAAAUUCUUGAAUCACUAAAAGCUAAAUUUCAAACAGAAAAUUGUUAGAGAUGAUACUAAGAGGCAAGUAUGUAUAAAAUCUAAUAGGCAUUGAAGAAGAUACAAAGAUUCCAUCCUCUACUGAAAAAUUAAGUGUGCACGCAGAGUAAGAAAGAAGGUUAAGUAGCCAACCUCAAAAAUAUUUAAAAAUUAUUGCAUUGAUGCUGUAUCACUCAUUUCCUUGCCCAGAUUCUUUUUUUUUUUUUUUUUUUUUGAGACAGAGUCUCACUUUGUCACCCAGGCUGGAGUGCAGUGGUGCUAUCUCAUUUCACUGCAAUCUCCGCUUUCUGGGUUCAAGUGAUUCUCAUGCCUCAGCCUUCCAAGUAGCUGGGACUACAGGCACGCGCCACCACACCCAGCUAAUUUUGUGUACUUUUAGUAGAGACUGGGUUUCACCAUGUUGGCAAGGCUGGUGUCAAACUCCUGACCUCAGGUGAUCUGCCUGCUUCAGCCUCCCAAAGUGCUGGGAUUACAGGUGUGAGCCACCAUGCCCAGCCCUUGCCCAGAUUCUUUAUUCACUGCUGUCCAAAUACUGUUGGUCCUCUGUACCUGCAGGGAUUUGCAGGUACAGAGGCUCAACUAUAAGGGACUUGAGCAUCCCCAGGUUUUGGUAAAUGGGGGUCCUGGAACUAAUUCUCUGCAGAUACUGAGGGACAAACGGUACCACUCAUUUUAAUGCAGAAAUUUUGUAUUCAUCCUUUCUUUUUAACUCCCACUACCGGGCUUAGUUUAGGCCUCUAUUUUCUCUAUCUUUCCCUUCAGCUUAUCCUUUAGGUUUCCUUCAAACUUGAAAUCUAACUAAAUCAGUCCCCUGUUAUAUACCACAUAUAUUUGUAAACUAAACAUAUAUGAAGAUGUAUGUACAUAUCAUAUAUUCCUAGUAUUUUAGUUACUUAAUUUUUUCACAGACUAAUCUCAGUAUUGCCUCUCAUCAUUCCUAAUGGACACUUGGUACUCUAGACACUUCUUCAGGUCACUGGAAAGGUAUCUCUCAUUGUAAGUGGAUAUAACCCAUUUAUCUUAUGGGUCAGUCUUUCAUAAGUUCGUUUAAGUAAAUGCUCAAGAACUGUUGAGUACCUUGACACAAUUGUGCUGACAACCUAUAAGACUUGUCAGAAAACUCUCUGACCUCCCUUUUAGGACAUGGAAUUGAGUAUUCUGUAAGUGCGGCAUGUCAUUGUAUCACAAUAUAGCAUUUGUUUCCAUACUACAUUGUGAGGUCCUUGAGCAAAGAGUACUGUGCCCCAGUGCAUUGUAUUGAUAUUCAUUCAAUACAAAUGUAAGAAUGUAUUACAUACCAGACAUUCUGCUGAGGGUAGGGAGGGAUUAUAAUACAGCAAAAACUAACACUUUCAAAGUUAAAGCCUAGUUCAGGACACAGUCACACUAUAAAAUGACAACUUAGAAAAAUAGUAUGAAGAGACAUACGGUGCUGUGAGAAUCCAUAAUAAAGAACCCUAGUCAGAAAAGUCUCAAGGAAGUGACGUGAUCGUUGUGGUCUAGAGCUGAAGAAUUAAUAUGAAUUAGGUAGGCAAGAAAGGGAAGUACAAGAGCUGCUUUCUGGGUAAAAGAAACAACAUGGGCAAAGAUUCUGGGGUCAGAGAGAUCACGUCAGUGCACUUGCCAGUUUGCCAAGAACAGGCCGUAUUCACUUUCAGAAGUGUUCAGGUUUGGAUAGUAAAUUGCAGGGCCAUCCUAUCUAUAAGGGACUCUAAGAAGCAUGGUUCUGCUGGAGCAAACAGCAGCUGGACAAGAUGAGGCUACAUAGACACUAGGCCCAAAGGCUAAGUGAAGUAUGUUUUUCAAGACAAUGAGGAAGCUAUUGAAGGAUUUGAAACUGGGUGGUAGCUUGAUGGGACUGGCAAAUUGAAAGUUUUUACUUUAGGUAUAAAUCCCAAAGAAGGAUUAGAUGUGGGUUGAAGUAGAUACAGUAUUCCUAAUUAAGUCAGGAGUCUUUGGCAGAUAAGAGAGGUUAGAAAUGACAUGAUAGACUAGGAUAGUGUAAUGGAGGUGGAGAGAAGUAGAAUUGGGAAGGGUAACAAAACUUGAUGGGAUUGGAUUCAGGCAGGGUUAGGAGGAGGAGGGAUGUUAGUCAUUUGCAGCUGAAUGACAUUCACUUAUAUAGUAAUGUAUUUGGAGAUGUAUAGAUAGGGAGAUCAUUACGUUUGGUUUAAGACAGAAUUGGGCCGGGUGUGAUGGCUCAUCCCAGCACUUUGGGAGGCCAAAGCGGGUGGAUCACAAGGUCAGGAGAUCGAGACCAUCCUGGCCAACACGUUGAAACCCUAU